rnacentral:rRNA from 1 species
GACGAACGCUGGCGGCGUGCUUAACACAUGCAAGUCGAACGGAAAGGCCCUGCUUUUGUGGGGUGCUCGAGUGGCGAACGGGUGAGUAACACGCGAGUAACCUGCCCUUGACUUUGGGAUAACUUCAGGAAACUGGGGCUAAUACCGGACAUGAGCUCCUGCUGCAUGGUGGGGGUUGGAAAGUUUCGGCGGUUGGGGAUGGACUCGCGGCUUAUCAGCUUGUUGGUGGGGUAGUGGCUUACCAAGGCUUUGACGGGUAGCCGACCUGAGAGGGUGACCGGCCACAUUGGGACUGAGAUACGGCACAAAGUCCUACGGGGGGCAGCAGGGGAGAAUGUCGCACAAUGGGCGGAAGCGUGAUGCAGGAACGCCGCGUGCGGGAUGACGGCGUUCGGGUUGUAAGCCGCUUUCGCCUGUGACGAAGCGUGGGUGACGGUACUGGGUAAAGAAGCACCGGCUAACUACGU